GGUGAUAUUUUUAUAAUGAAUGUGGGAUAUAUGAGUAUAUGAGGAGGUAGAGUAUUUUGUGGCAUUAAAUGUUUAACACAUGUUUUGUGUGUCGGUGGACACAAUUCUUGACCGAAAAUUUAUUAUAGACUAUAAAAUCGCCCGUUUAUGGAUUUUGGUCAAUUUCUGUUUGGAAUUUGGAAAAACUUUCUUCUGCAAAGUUGUAGAGAAUGGAAUUUCCCAUGGAAAGUCGCGAGUUUUGAAUUUUUCUGAUAACCGAGCUAUUUUCUACGAAUUGUUGAAGUUUCGGAAAAUAAAAUGAUUUUUAUUAAU
rnacentral:lncRNA from 1 species